UACCUGGUUGAUCCUGCGAGUAGUCAUAUGCUUGUCUCAAAGAUUAAGACAUGCAUGUGUAAGUAUGAACAAAUUCAGACUGUGAAACUGCGAAUGUCUCAUUAAAUCAGUUAUAGUUUGUUUGAUGGUAUCUACUACUCAGAUAACCAUAGUAAUUCUAGAGCUAAUACAUGCAACAAACCCCGACUUCUGGAAGGGAUGUAUUUAUUAGAUAAAAGGUCCACGCGGGCUCGGCUCGUGUCUCCGAUGAUUCAUAAUUAACUCGACGGUUCACACGACCAUCGUGCCGGCAACGCAUCAUUAAAAUUCAUUCCCUAUCAUCUUUUGAUCGUAGGAUAGUGGCCUACUGUUAGACCCGCAAACUACUGGAUCUAACUACGUGCAGACAUGUCAAGGACUUGGGCAUUGGUCUUGACAUGUAUGAUGGAAAAACAGUGCAACACAAGUUUAAGGUGCUUGGGUGUUGGCAACGUAGCUUGAACGUGCAUGGCUUACGUGCGGGCUAAGGGAAUUUGCAAGACAACAUGUUUGCAUGACAAGGCAAGGCUGUGAAGACUUGACAAUGUCAAGAACAAAGGCAAUUCACCCGAAUUGGUGAAAUAAAACUAAGUGUUGGAGGACAGAUAAAGUAUUCUAAGUGUUGGAAGCUGGCUGAAAUAUUCUAAGUGUUGGAAUGAAGCUUGAAAUAUUCUAAGUGUUAUAAUAUUAGUAUUUCAUGUAGAUAAGAAUGUAAUUUGAAUUAGAUUCUAUCUGUUGGAAAUAUAGCUGUUGGAAACUUAGUUUUGAACCCUGUGAUGACAAGUGUCGGACAAGUGUCAUUUGUAACUGCCGCAUGUAACUGCCAUUGUACAGAAUUUUUAUUAAGGCUGGAAAUUCAUCUAAGGCUUAGGCAGAGUGUUUUUAGCCUUAGACAAAUUCAUGAAGCCUUCCUUUGUAUUAAUUACGGAUUAUUAAAGGUUGGGACAAGUUCUUGUAAUGUCUUCUUGCUAGUGAACUUUGAUGAUUAAGUAUUUCUAUACUUAGUCAAUUUCAUGGGUGUAAAGUAGGCUGAGUGUUGCAGACGUUUGUAAGACUGCCUAGAGUGGUGUUGGGUAAAAAAAAAUUGGCCCUAUUUCAAUUGGUAUAAGAGCACGGUUGAACGAUGGUGAAGAACGCAGAACUGCGGGAACUGGCAUGAAAAAUUGAAUCCUUCGUUGGGUUUACUGAUGAUAUUUUUUGAGUUCCUACGUUUGUGGAUUUAUUUACACAAGUCAUUGAUUUGAGACUUGAUGCUGAGAAAGUUCAGGGGGGGAAUGGUGUAUAUCGACAGGAUGUUGAUAAUCAUAUCACUGAAAUCUUGGAUUUUCGUACCACUACUACGCAAAAACUUGAGGGACUGCUGAAGGAAAAUGAGAACCUUCGUGCAGAGCUCGUUGUAUUGUGUCGGGCUGUGGCUACGUUGAGUUCAAAUCGUGUUGAAUCAUCUAAGGUUAACAUUCUAGAACCUAAGGCCUUUAGUGGUGCAAGAAGUUCUAAAGAACUGGAAAAUUUCAUUUGGGACAUGGAACAGUAUUUUACUGCUGCAAGGGUGCCUGACGAUGACAAGUUAAAUAUUACCACAAUGUAUUUAACGGGUGAUGCUAAACUUUUGUGGAGGACUCGAAAUUCAGAUUAUGUAAGUGCUGGUCGUCUUGUAAUUGAUAAAUGGGAUAAGUUAAUAAAAGAAAUGAGUGAUUCAAUUUCUUCCUAGCAACGCAUCUUGGCUUGCAAGGGAUAAAUUGAAAAGGCUAAGGCAGACGGGUUCGGUGAGGGAAUACAUUAAAUAAUUUACCUCUGUGAUGUUAGACAUACAUAAUAUAUCUGAUGAGGAUAAAUUAGACAACUUCAUUUCGGGUAUGCAAGGCUGGGCUCAAAACAAACUACGGAGGCAGAAUGUUAAAGAUCUGCCCGGUGGAAUUGCUACUGCAGAUUCGUUGGUUGAUUUCCGGAGGACUCGUCCUUUGAAAGAUGUUCCCUCCACUUCAAAAACUAAGAAAAAGAAUGAGAAGAAAGAGGAAUGGAAAAAGGAUAGUCGUAAGGACAAUACAAAUGACAAAGGAAAGUUACAAAUGAAGGAUGUGAAAGAUAGGCCAAAGAACAAAGAUGGAAAUUCUAAGGGUUGUUGGACUUGUGGCGGUCCUCAGUUGGCCAAAUCUUGUCCAAACUGGGAAAAACUGAAUGCUUUGCUUGCUGGAAAUAUGAAUCAACGGGAGGAGGAUGAAGAAAUCGUGGCUGCAAUGGCAAACCCAUUGGGAUUGUCCUUCAAUCAUAUUACAGGGAUUAAUAAUGUUGGAGAAAUGGCUAGUACUUCUAAUCCUCAUGCUUCCCUAAUUCAUAUAGAAAUGAAAGUGAAAGAACAACGUGUGAUGGCAAUGGUUGAUACAGGGGCCACUCAUAUGUUUGUAGAUGUGAAAAUUGCUACAAAAUUGGGGCUAAAGUUGUCUAAAACCCCUUCCUAUGUCAAAACCGUCAAUGCUAAGGCACAAGCCAUUGUGGGCAUGGCUUAUGGUGUGUCUAUGUAGAUUUGAAGUUGGGUGGGAAAACAUGACUUGAUGGUGAUGCCGCUUGGUGAAUUUGAGAUCAUACUUGGAAUGAACUCUUCGAAAUUCUUGGCACAAGAAUUCACUUUUCCACAAGUUUCCACCCGCAAACCGACGGCCAGACUGAACGCGUCAACGCUUUGUUAGAGUGCUAUCUUAGGCACUACGUCAGUGCGCACCAGAAAGAUUCGGCUAAGCUCCUAGACAUAGCGCAAUUUUCUUAUAAUUUUCAGAGGAGUGAAUCCACCGGACGCACACCAUUCGAGUUGGCAACGGGUCAGCAACCCCAAACUCCGCAUUCACUACCAACUACGUUUGAGGGGAAGAGUUUGGGCGCUUACCAUCUUGCCAAGGUAUUGGAAGAACAACUUGAUACUGCCGAGUCUUACUUGGACAAGGCAGCAAAGAGGACGAAAAAGUUCGCCAACCGAAGGCGUCGUCCCACAGACUACCAAGAAGGCGAUAUGGUUUUGGUAAAGUUUAAUCCGAGGCAGUUUAAGGAACUAAGAGGCGUCCAUCACAACUUAGUGCGUAAAUAUGAGGGUCCAUUCAAGAUUGUUGCCAAGGUGGGAAAAAUCUCAUACAAGUUGGAGUUACCUCCACACUUGAAGAUCCACCCGGAACAAAUCACAACGGGCCCCUAUCACUGUCAAUAAAUCGCAUGACCGAGAAAUUGAAGCCAUCAUAGAUUACAAAGCCAAACGGAAACGAGGACAAUAAGACAACGAUAUUUUCCUCGUACAUUGGAAGGGACAAACUCCUGAAGAAGCCACGUGGGAGAAGUACGAAGAAUUGUGGCAGUUCAAGGACAAAGUCCAGGAAUUUUUGCAGUGAUGCGUCGCGGUUGCCGCAUCAUUAGGUAGAGAGGAGUGUGAGGACACGCCACAAUUCUGGCCAUUUUGCAGCAUCCGAAUGGGGCAGACGGCCCUAGAGCCUUGGAGAGGUUUGUAGAAGACUCUAGAGCCUUCUAGAUCCUUGGGGCAGACUAGAGAAUUCUAGGAGCCUUUUGGAAGAGCUAGAGACAUAUUCUACGGAACGUAGAACAUGUAAUUGCUUCGGGACUUGUAAUAUUUAUUUCCUCUUAGACCCUUAGGGAGUAGUAUAAAUAGAGGGCUCUCAUUUGUAACUCAUCCAACAAUCUAAUACAAGUCCUCUCUUCCAAAGUCUUUCUUUUUCUUUCUUUAUAUUCUCUUAGAGUUCCAAGUUUAAAGGCUUACUUGAGCUUACGAGAUCGUGAAAUAAUCAUGAGUAAGUUGUCAAGUGCCGCACGGAGUCUUAGCGAUUACUCUAAGUCCGUGAUACUACGCUCUGUAUACAUUAACAUGGGAUAACAUUAUAGGAUUUCAGUCCUAUUAUGUUGUCCUUCGGGGUCGGAGUAAUGAUUAACAGGGAUAGUCGGGGGCAUUCAUAUUUCAUAUUCAGAGGUGAAAUUCUUCGAUUUAUGAAAGAUGAACAACUGUGAAAGCACCAAGGAUAUUUUCAUUAAUCAAGAACGAAAGUUGGGGCUCAAAGUCGAGCAGAUACCGUCCUAGUCUUAACCAUAAACAAUGCCGACCAGGGAUCGGCGGAUAAUGCUUUUAGGACUCCGCCGACACCUUAUGAGAAAUCAAAGUUUUUGGGUUCCGGGGGGAGUAUGGUCGUAAGGAUGAAACUUAAAAGAAUUAAUGGAAGGGCACCACCAGGAGUGGAGCCUGCAGCUUAAUUUGACUCAACACGGGGAAACUUACAAGGUCUAGACAUAGUUAGGAUUGACAGACUGAGAGCUCUUUCUUGAUUCUAUGGGUGGUGGUGCAUGGCCGUUCUUAGUUGAUGGAGCGAUUUGUCUGGUUAAUUCCGUUAGAGAAUGAGACCUCAGCCUUCUAACUAGCUAUGCGGAGGUAUCCCUUCGCGGACAGCUUCUUAGAGGGACUACAACUUUUUAGGCCGCGGAAGUUUGAGGCAAUAACAGGUCUGUGAUGCCCUUAGAUGUUCUGGGCUGCACGCGUGCUACACUGAUGUAUUCAACGAGCUUAUAGCCUUAGCCCACAGGCCCAGGUAAUCUUUGAAAAUUUAUUGUGAUGGGGAUAGAUCAUUGCAAUUGUUGGUCUUUAACGCUCAAUUCCUAGUAAGUGUGAGUCAUCAGCUUGCGUUGACUACGUCCCUGCCCUUUGUACACACCGCCCGUUGCUCCCACCGAUUGAAUGAUCCAGUGAAAUGUUCAGAUCGCGGCGACGUGGGCGGUUCACUGCCCGCGACAUCGUGAGAAGUCCAUUAAACCUUAUCAUUUAGAGAAAGGAGAAGUCAUAACAAGGUUUCCGUAGGUGAACCUAUGGAAGGAUCAUUG
rfam:Solanum lycopersicum cultivar Heinz 1706 chromosome 6, whole genome shotgun sequence.